AUAUAUAUUUUUUUUUUUUGCAAAUAUCUAUAUAACCUUUGGUAUUUGUCCUUGUCUAAAAUGCCAGUGCUGUUCACCACUUUGAAACUCUUUGUUUCUGUUUAUGAAGCUCCUAAAAGAAAUGAUAGGUCUGAAGUUAGAGCAUGUUGAAUUCACAGAUGGCUCGGACAAAGUCAAAGGUGCCAUUUGCUGACAUAAGCAACUCCAAGCCUUCAUGGGGUUUGUCUGUUGAAAGAUGUUACUUUGAAUUUCACCACAGCAAGCAGCGUGGUAAUGGUGUCUCCAGGGUCGUAAAAUCAUCAGUUCAAUGUGCUUUCUUGUCAAGUAGGAUCACUGUCAACAAAGUUGAGAUGUUAUUUUUGCAGUCUAAAUGUAAUAAAAGAUGUCUUUCAUGGACAACGACAUAUGUUUUACAUGGUUAAAUGAGGUGAAAUUUUGCAAGACUGCUCAAUAAGACAAGUUUUCCCUUGCUGGAUGAUGGACACCAGUGUUUCAUCUGGCAACAACGUAUCUGGAACAAAUGCUAAAAUAUUUGAGUCAUACCACCUUGUGAUUGAGGGCACUCUUCGGGAUAAUUUAUGAAGAUGUACAACAUUUGUAGUGAAUAAAUCUCUGGAUAAAAUUUACUGUUCCAGAACUUCCAACUGAUGACUUGAUGAUUAAUUUGUUUUAUCAGGGACAUAACAAUGGACAUAAAGCAAGUAAUUUAAAGGCUAUUGAAGUGCAGGAUUUGCAGAUAUGCAUUUUCAAGGAAUACAUGAGUACAAACAAACCUUUCUGGAGCAGCAACGAGUUGGCAGUUUGUUUCCUGGCCCAAGACUCCUGUUCCAGUACAUAUAUUUCAUUGACUUGUAAACUUCAUUGGACGCUGUGUAUUCUCAAUUCAAGAGCUGACUGCCCAUGAGUGACAUUUCACAAUUAAACAACAAAUCUGUUUUAUUACCAUAUUCCCAAAUGUUUACAUGUUUGAGGAAAAUUCUAAACUUGAUAUAAAAUGUUUAAUUUUCCAAUAAAGUCUUUUUUUUAUGUAAUUUGUCAUGUUUAAUAAUGCUUUUGCUGACAUGAGCCAUAAAUGCACAAAUGGUGCACAUUGAUUAGCCAAGAAAAAAUAAAAAUGGCACUUGAUGCCCAAAAGGUUGCUGACCCCUGGUAUAGCACAUGGUAAUAAUUACAAGCAAUUUCAAUCUGAGCAAAUAAUGCAAUCCAAGCGUACUCCCACUGUAAAACAGUCCCUAACUUUGUUUGUUCUAAUGGUUUCUACCUGCUAUAGCCAUACCUGAGAUCCAAAUUCUAUUGGCUAAAGUUUCAGAUGGUUUAUAACGACACAAGAAAACUCAGCUGCAUCAUCAAGAAAAAUAUUAAACAAAAAACAAAUUGGGUAACACUUUAUAAUAACUACACACUAUGAACCAUUU